AAUGAUUCAAAUAAUCUUGGCAAAAUUCAUGAGUAGACAGAACAUGCAACAUGAUCAUCACACAAAAAAUUAGAGGCAUUGAACAUCAUUAGGCAUGGCAAUCACAUGGCAUAAGUCAAGGCAAGCACAACAAGCUCAUGUGUGACACAAAUUGUCACACCAACUUAGCAUAGGCAUAAAACAGAGAUGGAUUAUGGUAAAAACCUCAAAC
rnacentral:lncRNA from 1 species